rnacentral:rRNA from 1 species
UGAUCCUGCCAGUAGUCAUAUGCUUGUCUCAAAGAUUAAGCCAUGCAUGUCUAAGUGCAAGCCAAAUUAAGGUGAAACCGCGAAAGGCUCAUUAUAUCAGUUAUGGUUCAAUAGAUCGUACUCAGUUACAUGGAUAACUGCGGAAAUACUGGAGCUAAUACAUGCCAACAGAGUCCCGACCAGUGAUGGAAGGGACGCUUUUAUUAGAUCAAAACCAAUCGGUCGCUUCGGCGAUCGUGCAGUCUUGGUGACUCUGAAUAACUUUGGGCUGAUCGCACGGCCUUCGUGCCGGCGACGCAUCUUUCAAAUGUCUGCCUUAUCAACUGUCGAUGGUAGGUUCUGCGCCUACCAUGGUUGUAACGGGUAACGGGGAAUCAGGGUUCGAUUCCGGAGAGGGAGCCUGAGAAACGGCUACCACAUCCAAGGAAGGCAGCAGGCGCGCAAAUUACCCACUCCCGGCUCGGGGAGGUAGUGACGAAAGAUAACGAUACGGGACUCAUCCGAGGCCCCGUAAUCGGAAUGACUACACUUUAAAUCCUUUAAGGAGUAUCAAUUGGAGGGCAAGUCUGGUGCCAGCAGCCGCGGUAAUUCCAGCUCCAAUAGCGUAUAUUAAAGUUGUUGCGGUUAAAAAGCUCGUAGUUGGAUCUGUGUCCCGCACCGUCGGUACACCGCCCGUCGGUGCUAACUGGCGUGCUGUGGGACGUCCUGCCGGUGGCGCGUCUAGGUGGCGUUGUGGUUGGUUUCGGCCUCCGCUUCGCAGGCCGGCGCCGAUUCAAUCCCGCUGCGGUGCUCUUUACUGAGUGUCGAGGUGGGCCGGCACGUUUACUUUGAACAAAUUAGAGUGCUCAAAGCAGGCUGGAUACGCCUGGAUAUUUUUGCAUGGAAUAAUGGAAUAGGACCUCGGUUCUAUUUUGUUGGUUUUCGGAACCAGAGGUAAUGAUUAAUGGAGACAGGCGGGGGCAUUCGUACUGCGACGUUAGAGGUGAAAUUCUUGGAUCGUCGCAUGACGAACCGAAGCGAAAGCAUUUGCCAAGGAUGUUCUCGUUGAUCAAGAACGAAAGCGGGAGGUUUGAAGGCGAUCAGAUACCGCCCUAAUUCCCGCCGUAAAUAAUGUCUGCUAGCGAUCCGCCAACGUUCCAUUGAUGACUUGGUGGGCAGCUUCCGGGAAACCAAAGCUUUUGGAUUCCGGGGGAAGUAUGGUUGCAAAGCUGAAACUUAAAGGAAUUGACGGAAGGGCACCACCAGGAGUGGAGCCUGCGGCUUAAUUUGACUCAACACGGGAAACCUCACCAGGCCCGGACACUGGAAGGAUUGACAGAUUGAGAGCUCUUUCUUGAUUCAGUGGGUGGUGGUGCAUGGCCGUUCUUAGUUGGUGGAGCGAUUUGUCUGGUUAAUUCCGAUAACGAACGAGACUCUAGCCUGCUAACUAGUCGUCUCCGGUAUCCAUUACGCUACCGGCGAAGACAUAUCUUCUUAGAGGGACAGGCGGCUUCUAGCCGCACGAGAUUGAGCAAUAACAGGUCUGUGAUGCCCUUAGAUGUUCUGGGCCGCACGCGCGCUACAAUGAAGGUAUCAGCGUGUCUUCCCUGGCCGAAAGGUCCGGGUAACCCGCUGAACCACCUUCGUGCUUGGGAUUGGGGCUUGAAAUUGUUCCCCAUGAACGAGGAAUUCCCAGUAAAGGCGUGUCAUUAGCACGCCUUGAUUACGUCCCUGCCCUUUGUACACACCGCCCGUCGCUACUACCGAUUGAAUGAUUUAGUGAGGUCUUUGGACCGGUGCGCGGCAGUCUCUCGUGGACUGCCGAUGUCGCUGGAAAGAUGACCGAACUUGACCAUUUAGAGGAAGUAAAAGUCGUAACAAGGUUUCCGUAGGUGAACCUG